GGGCUUGUGGUUUAGUGGUAUAAUACUCCCUUAGCAUCUGUUGGCACUUCUCUUCCGAAGAGUCCGCGACAAGAAGUUUGGGAGUGGUCCGGGGUUCGAUUCCCCGCGAGUCCA